ACUAUUUUGGCAGAGAAGUGUGAUAGAUUUAGAAUCUAUAAAUGUAAUUGUUAUUACAAGUAGUA
rnacentral:tRNA from 1 species